rnacentral:rRNA from 1 species
AUUGAACGCUGGCGGCAGGCCUAACACAUGCAAGUCGAGCGGAUGAAGCGAGCUUGCUCCUGGACUCAGCGGCGGACGGGUGAGUAAUGCCUAGGAAUCUGCCUGGUCGUGGGGGAUAACGUCCGGAAACGGGCGCUAAUACCGCAUCCGUCCUGAGGGAGAAAGUGGGGGGUCUUCGGAUCUCACGCUAUCAGAUUAGCCUAGGUCGGUUGAGCUAGUUGGGGGGGUAAAGGCCUACCAAGGCGACUAUCCGUAACUGGUCUGAGAGGAUGAUCAGUCACACUGGCAGUGAGACACGGCAGAGACACCGGCAGGAGGCCGCAGCGCGGAAUAUUAGAGGAGGCGGGAGAGGCUAAUACAGGCAUGCCGCGGAAGUCAAGAAGGUCUUCGGAUUGGAGAGCAAUUUAGGUUGGGAGGAAGGGCAGUAAGUUAACACCUUGUUGUAUUGACGUUACCAACAGAAUAAGCACCGGCUAACUUCGUG